AAGUUUCAUAUAAUAUACCGUUCAGAGGGGACCGGCUGUCUUUCCUCGUUGUCGUGAGUCGGACACCCGUGCCGUCGCUAGAAGUUUUUCAAACUCUGCUUCUGGAUAUCGGGACGAAAGACCGCGCGAGGACGACGGAUGCGAGUCCCAUCGAAUUUUUGAUUUA